AUGCAGAUGCUAUCAUUUAUCACAAUUAUUUUAAAAGCCCUAAUCUCGCACUUCAUAGAAUUCUUCACAUCCACUUGCAUGUCAAGCGCUGCAAGAGGGUGUGUUUGCACAUGGAAAUGCUGCAUCCUGCGAUCUGCCCGGCUGGGAGGAGCAGCCGUGGAGCCGGCAGCGGCUGGGCGAGCUCGCCCGGCGCGGAGGGGUUAYUGUGUUAAUUUUCACGUUCGCUUUGAUACUCUUGGCUUGCAUGGAAGGUGCCUGUCGAUGCACUCACUGCUGCCCGUGCAUACACAAGACCAUGACCACUGCCCUGGAGAAGCAUCUUGCGUUCAGAAGGACACACGACCGUGCACGGCGACCGUAUUCCUGCAGGGUGUUUUGCAAAAGCUCGGAGGCCGGAAGGGCGCUUGGCCGGUGUCGAAGUGCCCGUCRCGCUGCAAGCGAUGGAGAGUUUGGGUUUCUGCCGGAGGAGUUCAGGCCGCGCGAGCGGGAGCCGGGUUGGUCGGACUCCAGCGAGGCAGUCAUGUGGAACUAACACCGUGUUAUUAA
rnacentral:lncRNA from 1 species